GUUCCAGGCAGCGAUGGUGUUAAGGCUGUCGCUUGAGCAUUCUGGUAGUUCGUGUGUGUUUGUGGCAUCUUCUAAUUGAUGUAGUUUCUCAGACUGUACAUCUAACAUGGGGAUAGAGAAUGUGGAAAAAUGCGAGUUUGGGAAACCCUGCUCUAUGUGACUGGAGCCAUGCGCCAGGUGUGCAGGAGCUCUUCGCCUGAUCAACAUUCCUCUGAUGGUGUAUGGGUGUUAUAAUGGCAGGUUUGGUGACUGUGGAUCUGUUCUAGACAUAACUCUGCUAAUCUACCCCACACUGGGUCAUCAUUAAAAGUACAGUCUAGUGUUUACAGCAUUUUGUAGAAAUGCAUCCCGUGUUCAAAUACAUCCUCAUCAAUGCAGCAGCCUUGAUUUGAAUAGUUGAAUAGGAUCAUUCAUAUACUUUAUUCAUAUAUAUACUCCUUUAUUUUCAGUGUUUCUCAUGUUUUCAGAGCAGAAGAAGCAGUGCAAAUGCUGAAGACCUUUUUAUAAACAGGAGAACCCAAAUGCCCCCAAGCCCAAGACAAGGAAGGAGUGAGAUACUGUUGAUGUCCAGCAGGGGGCAAUAUUCGUUAAGUAAUGAGCUCCAGAGGCAGUAGCCAGGCCAGCGGGUGAUGAGAGCUGGGUUAGAGCGGGCCCACGGCCCUCCCGGAGAGGAGCUGUCAGCUGGACACCUGUCGACCAUGGAUACCUGCCACCUCCCUGCCUCAGCCCUCUAACAUGCAGCCUGGGAUAGUGCCGGCAUUCACAGGGCCUCUUCCAAAAAUACCCAGCACGGCUAAACACAAACCUCAUGUUAUCUUAUCUUGUGUAUGAGAAUGAUAAGAGUGGACCUCGCUCAUUAUAAUGGCCCCUCUGUGAUAUCAAAUGUUACGUCACAUACGCAGAAUACAACUGGUGUGAAAUAAAUGCUACUUUACUGUGAAAUGCUUGCUUACGAGCCCUUCCCAACAAUGCAGAAGAUAAAGAUAAAAAAUAUAAUAGUAACACAAGAAUGGACCUAUAUACAGGUAGUACUAUUACCAGAUAAAUGUG